rnacentral:rRNA from 1 species
CCUACGGGGGGCUGCAGUGAGGAAUAGUGGUCAAUGGCCGAGAGGCUGAACCAGCCAAGUCGCGUGAGGGAAGACGGCCCUACGGGUUGUAAACCUCUUUUGUCGGGGAGCAAAGAGAGGCACGUGUGACUCAUUGAGAGUACCCGAAGAAAAAGCAUCGGCUAACUCCGUGCCAGCAGCCGCGGUAAUACGGAGGAUGCGAGCGUUAUCCGGAUUUAUUGGGUUUAAAGGGUGCGCAGGCGGAGGUGCAAGUCAGCGGUCAACUUGCGGGGCUCAACCCCGUACUGCCGUUGAAACUGCAUCCCUUGAGUGCGCGAGCAGUAUGCGGAAUGCGUGGUGUCGCGGUGAAAUGCAUAGCUCUUAGGAGGCACACCAGUGGCGAAGGCGGCUUACUGGACUGUAACUGACGUUGCGGCUCGACUGCGUGGGGAGCACACAGGAUUAGAUACCCCUGUAGUC